GGUUUAAUUCGAUGAUACGCGAGGAACCUUACCGGGCUUGAAUUGCAGAGGAAGGAUUUGGAGACAAUGACGCCCUUCGGGGUCUCUGUGAAGGUGCUGCAUGGUUGUCGUCAGCUCGUGCCGUGAGGUGUCGGCUUAAGUGCCAUAACGAGCGCAACCCCUCUCCUUAGUUGCCAUCAGGUUAAGCUGGGCACUCUGGGGACACUGCCACCGUAAGGUGUGA
rnacentral:rRNA from 1 species